rnacentral:lncRNA from 1 species
UUGGGGGAAGAAGGGAUCCCCAACACCAAUGUGAAAGUAUAGACAGAUUCAUUUCGGUAUUCAACUUUAUAGGUACUAUGACCACGACUAUACUUUACCAAUGUGGCCCUUACAAAUUAGAUAUGCUAACAACCACAAUCAUAGUUCAUCACUGUGGGCCCUAUAAAUCAGAACGUGAAUUCACUCUCCUUAGGGGGAAUGCUCG